rnacentral:snoRNA from 1 species
CAAGCAGGGAUAGUGUGUAUUGGUGUUUUGCUAUGAUCAAAUGCAUUCUUCCGAAAGUGUUCCCUAGCAAUAUUAAUUUGGGAAAAUGGGCAGUUGUGUUUCAUUUUAAAGUUGAAAAUCACAACAAUCAUUUUCCCUACAUUU